rnacentral:rRNA from 1 species
AACGAACGCUGGCGGCAUGCCUAACACAUGCAAGUCGAACGAGAUCUUCGGGUCUAGUGGCGCACGGGUGCGUAACGCGUGGGAAUCUGCCCUUUGGUUCGGAAUAACAGUUGGAAACGACUGCUAAUACCGGAUGAUGACGAAAGUCCAAAGAUUUAUCGCCAGAGGAUGAGCCCGCGUAGGAUUAGCUAGUUGGUGUGGUAAAGGCGCACCAAGGCGACGACCCUUAGCUGGUCUGAGAGGAUGAUCAGCCACACUGGGACUGAGACACGGCCCAGACUCCUACGGGAGGCAGCAGUGGGGAAUAUUGGACAAUGGGCGAAAGCCUGAUCCAGCAAUGCCGCGUGAGUGAUGUAGGCCUUAGGGUUGUAAAGCUCUUUUACCCGUGAUGAUAAUGACAGUACCGGGAGAAUAAGCUCCGGCUAACUCCGUGCCAGCAGCCGCGGUAA